rnacentral:rRNA from 1 species
UAAUCCGCAUCGAUCUCAGCGAUAAAGCAGGGGACCGCAAGGCCUUGCGCUCACGAGCGGCCGAUGGCAGAUUAGGUAGUUGGUGGGAUAAAAGCUUACCAAGCCGACGAUCUGUAGCUGGUCUGAGAGGACGACCAGCCACACUGGGACUGAGCACGGCCCAGACUCCUACGGGAGGCAGCAGUGGGGAAUUUUGGACAAUGGGCGCAAGCCUGAUCCAGCCAUGCCGCGUGCAGGAUGAAGGCCUUCGGGUUGUAAACUGCUUUUGUACGGAACGAAAAGACUCUGGUUAAUACCUGGGGUCCAUGACGGUACCGUAAGAAUAAGCACCGGCUAACUACCGUGCCAACAGCCGGGGUAAUACCUAGGGUGCGAGCGUUAAUCGGAAUUACUGGGCGUAAAGCGGGCCCAGGCGGUUAUGUAAGACAUAUGGGAAAUCCCCGGGCUCAACCUGGGAACUGCAUUUGUGACUGGAUAACUUGAGUACGGCAGAGGGGGAUGGAAUUCCCCGUGUAGCAGUGAAAUGCGUAAAUAUGCGGAGGAACACCGAUGGCGAAGGCAAUCCCUUGGGCCUGUACUGACGCUCAUGCACGAAAGCGUGGGGAGCAAACAGAUUAAAUACCCUGGUAGUCCACGCCCUAAACGAUGUCAUCUGGUGUUGGGUCUUCCCUUCUCAGUACGACUAAGCUAAGCGCGAAGUUGACCGCCUGUGGAGACGCCGCAAGGUGUACUCAAAGGAAUUGGCGGGGACCCCGCACACGCGGGGAUGAUGUGGGUUAAUUCGAUGCAACGCGAAAAACUAUCCACCUUUGACAUGUACGGAAUCCUUUAUAGAUAUAGGAGUGCUCGCAAAGAGCGCGAAACACAGGUGCUGCAUGGCUGUCGUCAGCUCGUGUCGUGAGAUGUUGGGUUAAGUCCCGCAACGAGCGCAACCCUUGACAUUAGUUGCUACAUUAGUUGGGCACUUUAAUGAGACUGGCGGUGACCAACCGGAGGAAGGGGGGGAUGACGUCAAGUCCUUAUGGCCCUUAUAGGUGGGGCUUCACACGUUAUUCAAUGGCUGGUACAGAGGGUUGCCAACCCGCGAGGGGUAGCCAAUCCCAUAAAGCCAGUCGUAAUCCGGAUCGGAAUCUGGAACUUGACUGGGUGAAGUCUGAAUCGCUUGUAAUCGCGGAUCAAAAUGGCCGGGGGAAUACCUUCCCGGGUCUUGGACACACCGGCCGUCACACCAUGGAAACGUUUUCUGCCACAAGUAGUUAGCCUAACCGUUUGGAGGGCGAUUACCACGGGAGGGUUCGAGACUGGGGUGAAAUCCUAACAAGGGAACCGUAUUGGAAGGGGCGGGUGGAUCACC